UACUAGAGUAGCACUCGCAUAUCAAUAAGCGGAGGAAAAGAAACUAACAAGGAUUCCCCUAGUAACGGCGAGUGAAGCGGGAAGAGCUCAAAUUUGAAAUCUUAAAGGGUUUCCCUUUACGAAUUGUAGUUUAAAGAAGUGUUUUCUGUUGAGGUUUUGGUAAAAGUUCUUUGGAAUAGGACAUCAUAGAGGGUGAGAAUCCCGUAUUUGACCUUUACUUUCAACUUUGUGAUACACUUUCAAAGAGUCGGAUUGUUUGGGAAUGCAGUCCAAAAUGGGUGGUAAAUUUCAUCUAAAGCUAAAUAUUGGCGAGAGACCGAUAGCGAACAAGUACCGUGAGGGAAAGAUGAAAAGAACUUUGAAAAGAGAGUUAAACAGUACGUGAAAUUGUCAAAAGGGAAGCGUUUGACACCAGUGUUGUUUUUCUGAAAAUCAAUUAAAGGAACUGUUUAUGCUAAGCUGUUUAGACUUUAUCAGCUAUCUGUUUAGUUUUGAGCUUUUCUUUAAUGCACUUUUCAGUUAACAAGUCAACAUCAAUUUCUUUUGCUGUAAAAAAGCUUGAGGAAGGUGGCUUGAGAUUCGUCUUAAGUGUUUAUAGCCUCUUGCCUAUGCAGUCGGAGAGAUUGAGGUCUGCAGCGUAGAUCCUUCGGGGCUAAAUGCAUUUGUGCUAAGUUAUAGCAUUUUAUAGACAACUUGUUGACUAUGAUUUGUCUUGUAGCUUACUCGCUUAUGUUAUUUUACCUACGCUUAGGAUGUUGAGCGCAUGUCUCUCUCU
rnacentral:rRNA from 1 species